rnacentral:rRNA from 1 species
CAGUGGGGAAAUAUUGGGCAAUGGGCGAAAGCCUGAUCCAGCCAUGCCGCGUGUGUGAAGAAGGCCUUCGGGUUGUAAAGCCCUUUUGGUUGGAAGGAAGGGCAUUUACUUAAUACGUGGGUGUUUUGACGGUACCGACAGAAUAAGCACCGGCUAACUUUGUGCCAGCAGCCGCGGUAAUACAAAGGGUGCAAGCGUUAAUCGGAAUUACUGGGCGUAAAGCGCGCGUAGGUGGUUUGUUAAGUCGGAUGUGAAAUCCCCGGGCUCAACCUGGGAACUGCAUUCNAAACUGGCUAGCUAGAGUAUGGUAGAGGGUGGUGGAAUUUCCUGUGUAGCNGUGAAAUGCGUAGAUAUAGGAAGGAACACCAGUGGCGAAGGCGACCACCUGGACUGAUACUGACACUGAGGCGCGAAAGCGUGGGGAGCAAACAGGAUUAGAUACCCUG